GAUGAACGCUGACAGAAUGCUUAACACAUGCAAGUCAACUUGAAUUUGGGUUUUUAACUUAGGUUUGGGUGGCGGACGGGUGAGUAACGCGUAAAGAACUUGCCUCACAGCUAGGGACAACAUUUGGAAACGAAUGCUAAUACCUAAUAUUAUGAUAAUAGGGCAUCCUAUAAUUAUGAAAGCUAUAAGCGCUGUGAGAGAGCUUUGCGUCCCAUUAGCUAGUUGGAGAGGUAACGGCUCACCAAGGCGACGAUGGGUAGCCGGCCUGAGAGGGUGAUCGGCCACAAGGGGACUGAGACACGGCCCGUACUCCUACGGGAGGCAGCAGUGGGGAAUAUUGGACAAUGGACCGAGAGUCUGAUCCAGCAAUUCUGUGUGCACGAUGAAGUUUUUCGGAAUGUAAAGUGCUUUCAGUUGGGAAGAAACAAAUGACGGUACCAACAGAAGAAGUGACGGCUAAAUACGUG
rnacentral:rRNA from 1 species